rnacentral:rRNA from 2 species
CGGGACACGUGGUAUCCUGUCUGAAUAUGGGGGGACCAUCCUCCAAGGCUAAAUACUCCUGACUGACCGAUAGUGAACCAGUACCGUGAGGGAAAGGCGAAAAGAACCCCGGCGAGGGGAGUGAAAAAGAACCUGAAACCGUGUACGUACAAGCAGUGGGAGCACAGAGCAAUCUGUGUGACUGCGUACCUUUUGUAUAAUGGGUCAGCGACUUAUAUUCUGUAGCAAGGUUAACCGAAUAGGGGAGCCGAAGGGAAACCGAGUCUUAACUGGGCGUUAAGUUGCAGGGUAUAGACCCGAAACCCGGUGAUCUAGCCAUGGGCAGGUUGAAGGUUGGGUAACACUAACUGGAGGACCGAACCGACUAAUGUUGAAAAAUUAGCGGAUGACUUGUGGCUGGGGGUGAAAGGCCAAUCAAACCGGGAGAUAGCUGGUUCUCCCCGAAAGCUAUUUAGGUAGCGCCUCGUGAAUUCAUCUCCGGGGGUAGAGCACUGUUUCGGCAAGGGGGUCAUCCCGACUUACCAACCCGAUGCAAACUGCGAAUACCGGAGAAUGUUAUCACGGGAGACACACGGCGGGUGCUAACGUCCGUCGUGAAGAGGGAAACAACCCAGACCGCCAGCUAAGGUCCCAAAGUCAUGGUUAAGUGGGAAACGAUGUGGGAAGGCCCAGACAGCCAGGAUGUUGGCUUAGAAGCAGCCAUCAUUUAAAGAAAGCGUAAUAGCUCACUGGUCGAGUCGGCCUGCGCGGAAGAUGUAACGGGGCUAAACCAUG